rnacentral:tRNA from 1 species
GGAAGAGUGGCUGAGUGGACAAUAGCAAUAGACUGUAGAUCUAUCUGACGUGAUGUCAUACAUAGGUUCGAAUCCUAUCUCUUUCA